rnacentral:rRNA from 1 species
AGGCUUGUAUGAAUGGUUUGAUGAGAAAAUAGUUGUUUCUUUUUAAAAAGAUGAAUUUUAAUUUUCAGUAAAAAUGCUGAAAUAUUAAUAAAAGACGAGAAGACCCUAUAAAUCUUUAUUUUUAUAUUUAAUAAUAAUAGUAAAGAAAAUGAAUUUUUAUUAUUGUUUAUAAAUUAUAUUGGGGUGAUAGUGAAAUUUAAUAAACUUUUAUUUAUCAGUAAUAUUUAUUUAUAGGUUAAUGAUCCAUUAUUAUGAUUAAAA